CCUACGGGUGCAGCAGUGAGGAAUAUUGGUCAAUGGACGCAAGUCUGAACCAGCCAUGCCGCGUGCAGGAAGACGGCUCUAUGAGUUGUAAACUGCUUUUGUACGAGGGUAAACGCAGAUACGCGUAUCUGUCUGAAAGUAUCGUACGAAUAAGGAUCGGCUAACCCCGUGCCAGCAGCCGCGGUAAUACGGAGGAUUCAAGCGUUAUCCGGAUUUAUUGGGGUGAAAGGGUGCGUAGGCGGUCGGAUAAGUUAGAGGUGAAAUCCCGAGGCUCAACUUCGGAAUUGCCUCUGAUACUGUUCGGCUAGAGAGUAGUUGAGGUAGGCAGAAUGUAUGGUGUAGCGGUGAAAUGCUUAGAGAUCAUACAGAACACCGAUUGCGAAGGCAGCUUACCAAGCUACUUCUGACGUUGAGGCACGAAAGCGUGGGGAGCAAACAGGAUUAGAUACCCCUGUAGUC
rnacentral:rRNA from 1 species